AAUCAACGCUGGCGGCGUGCCUCAGACAUGCAAGUCGAACGCGAAAGUUCCCUUCGGGGAGCAAGUAGAGUGGCGCACGGGUGAGUAACACGUAGGUAAUUUGCCUUCGGGUGGGGAAUAACAGUCGGAAACGACUGCUAAUACCGCAUAAUGCAGCGGCUCGACAUCGAGACAGUUGUUAAAGCGGGGGAGUCCUUCGGGACCUCGCGCCUGAAGAGAAGCCUGCGGCAGAUUAGCUAGUUGGUGAGGUAAUGGCCCACCAAGGCUACGAUCUGUAACCGGCCUGAGAGGGCGGUCGGUCACACUGACACUGACA
rnacentral:rRNA from 1 species